rnacentral:rRNA from 1 species
AGAGUUUGGAUCCUGGCUCAGUAUGAACGCUAGCUACAGGCUUAACACAUGCAAGUCGAGGGGCAGCAUGAAAGUUUGCUUGCAAACUUUUGAUGGCGACCGGCGCACGGGUGAGUAACACGUAUCCAACCUGCCUCAUACUCGGGGAUAGCCUUUCGAAAGAAAGAUUAAUACCCGAUGUCAUAGUCCUACCGCAUGAUGGGAUUAUUAAAGAAUUUCGGUAUGGGAUGGGGAUGCGUUCCAUUAGUUAGUUGGCGGGGUAACGGCCCACCAAGACAACGAUGGAUAGGGGUUCUGAGAGGAAGGUCCCCCACAUUGGAACUGAGACACGGUCCAAACUCCUACGGGAGGCAGCAGUGAGGAAUAUUGGUCAAUGGACGAGAGUCUGAACCAGCCAAGUAGCGUGAAGGAUGACUGCCCUAUGGGUUGUAAACUUCUUUUAUAUGGGAAUAAAAUGUUCCACGUGUGGGAUUUUGUAUGUACCAUAUGAAUAAGGAUCGGCUAACUCCGUGCCAGCAGCCGCGGUAAUACGGAGGAUCCGAGCGUUAUCCGGAUUUAUUGGGUUUAAAGGGAGCGUAGGUGGAUUGUUAAGUCAGUUGUGAAAGUUUGCGGCUCAACCGUAAAAUUGCAGUUGAAACUGGCAGUCUUGAGUACAGUAGAGGUGGGCGGAAUUCGUGGUGUAGCGGUGAAAUGCUUAGAUAUCACGAAGAACUCCGAUUGCGAAGGCAGCUCACUGGACUGCAACUGACACUGAGGCUCGAAAGUGUGGGUAUCAAACAGGAUUAGAUACCCUGGUAGUCCACACAGUAAA